rnacentral:lncRNA from 1 species
GUUUGUAUAUAUAUUAUUAUGUAUUGUUAAUUGUAAUACAUGACUUCGGUGUUGCGGCAGAUUAAAAUAUUAGAAACUUCCUUUCUAUUAUUCACAGCCAAAACGUCCCACCCAAAGCCAAACUACGGCAGAGUUACAGGUCCGUCUUAACAACUACGAGACAGUUAGAAUAGUCCUGAUAUAUGUAGGAAGAAUCGGUGAUGAAGUGGUGGUGGUUCUCACUUGUUCUUUUUGGCUUA